UACGUAGGGGGCGAGCGUUGUCCGGAAUUAUUGGGCGUAAAGAGCUCGUAGGCGGUCUGUCGCGUCGGUCGUGAAAACUUGGGGCUUAACCCUGAGCUUGCGGUCGAUACGGGCAUGACUGGAGUUCGGCAGGGGAGACUGGAAUUCCUGGUGUAGCGGUGAAAUGCGCAGAUAUCAGGAGGAACACCGGUGGCGAAGGCGGGUCUCUGGGCCGAUACUGACGCUGAGGAGCGAAAGCGUGGGGAGCGAACAGG
rnacentral:rRNA from 1 species